UACGGGGGGGGUAAGCGUUGUUCGGAAUUACUGGGCGUAAAGGGCUCGUAGGCGGCCAACUAAGUCGGACGUGAAAUCCCUCAGCUUAACUGGGGAACUGCGUCCGAUACUGGAUGGCUUGGAUUUGGGAGAGGGAUGCGGAAUUCCAGGUGUAGCGGUGAAAUGCGUAGAUAUCUGGAGGAACACCGGUGGCGAAGGCGGCAUCCCGGACCAAUAUUGACGCUGAGGAGCGAAAGCCAGGGGAGCAAACGGG
rnacentral:rRNA from 1 species